CAGCAGCCGCGGUAAUACGUAGGGUGCGAGCGUUAAUCGGAAUUACUGGGCGUAAAGCGUGCGCAGGCGGUUUUGUAAGACAGGCGUGAAAUCCCCGGGCUCAACCUGGGAAUGGCGCUUGUGACUGCAAAGCUAGAGUGCGGCAGAGGGGGAUGGAAUUCCGCGUGUAGCAGUGAAAUGCGUAGAGAUGUGGAGGAACACCGAUGGCGAAGGCAGCCCCCUGGGCCAAUACUGACGCUCAUGCACGAAAGCGUGGGGAGCAAACAGGAUUAGAUACCCCGGUAGUCCCUGUCUCUUAUAC
rnacentral:rRNA from 1 species